rnacentral:sRNA from 1 species
UAUUCUGCCCCACGGGGAAGGAUGAGAAGCUUCGACUAAGGUUCGACUCGCGCGAAGCGAGAGAACGUUGCCGCAGGCAACGGCCCGAAGGGCGAGGCGCUUUAGCGCCGAGUAAUCCUUCCCCCACCACCA